rnacentral:snRNA from 1 species
AUUGAUACCUGGCAGGGGAGACACCAUGAUCACAAAGGUGGUUUUCUCAGGGUGAGGCCCAUCCAUUGCAUUCUGGGUGUGCUGGCCCUUGCGAUUUCCCCAAAUACAGGAAACUCGACUGCAUAAUGUGUGGUAGUGAGAGACUGAGUUUAUGCUUUCCCCUGA